rnacentral:miRNA from 1 species
CUAGAUUCACGCACAAGCUCG